GGGCUGGUGUCCGGGUUCUAGCUGUGUACGUGGUGGACAAACCAGAGGCCACACUUCCCAGCCUUCCAGAACCGGAAUGCAGACUUGGUGGCGGCCCUGUUUCAGCCACGCAGACAACGACCAUUCCCAGUGUGUGGCAGAACCACAAGAUGGAAGGAACACAGGGCUCUGCAGGAGGCUGAGGAGCAGCCCUGCCCUGCCAGCCAGGGCCACACUCGCCGUGCCAGCCUCGGCCGAGGCUCUCAUGAAGUGGCAGAAGUGAUGUUAUGUGACUUCUGGGGAUAGGUCUCAAGAGACCUUGCUGCUUGUGCCUGGGUUCUCUUGGAAUGUUGUCCUGGGACUGCCAUGCUAUGGGGCCUGGGGAUGAAAGACCCUGGGAGAGAAAGGGCCAGCUGUCCCACUGUUCCCGCUGGACUCAGCCCCUAGCUGACUGCAGCUGCGUGGCUGGACUCAGGCAAGACCAGCAGAAGAACCACCUGGCUGAACCACCUGGCCAAUCUACUGAAUCAUGAGAAA